UACGAAGGGUGCUAGCGUUGUUCGGAAUCACUGGGCGUAAAGCGCGCGUAGGCGGCUUAGCAAGUCAGAGGUGAAAUGCCAGGGCUCAACCCUGGAACUGCCUUUGAAACUGCUAAGCUAGAGUGUCGGAGGGGAUAGCGGAAUUGCUAAUGUAGAGGUGAAAUUCGUAGAUAUUAGCAGGAACACCUGUGGCGAAAGCGGCUCACUGGACCACAACUGACGCUGAGGCGCGAAAGCUAGGGGAGCAAACAGG
rnacentral:rRNA from 1 species